rnacentral:rRNA from 1 species
CCCUUAGAUGUUCUGGGCCGCACGCGCGCUACACUGAUGCAUUCAACAAGCCUAGCCUUGACCGAGAGGUCCGGGUAAUCUUUGAAACUGCAUCGUGAUGGGGCUAGAUUAUUGCAAUUAUUAAUCUUCAACGAGGAAUGCCUAGUAAGCGUGAUUCAUCAAAUCGCGUUGAUUACGUCCCUGCCCUUUGUACACACCGCCCGUCGCUCCUAUCGAUUGAAUGUGUUGGUGAGGAGCUCGGAUUGGCAGCAGUUGGUGGUUCGCCACCGGCUAUUGCUGAGAAGUCCUCCAAACCGCCCCAUUUAGAGGAAGGAGAAGUCGUAACA